rnacentral:tRNA from 1 species
GCCUCCGUAGCUCAGCUGGCAGAGCGGCCGCCUCGUAAGCGGCAGGUCGGCGGUUCGAAUCCGCCCGGCGGCUCCA